CAUUAACCGAUCUCUAUCCCUCUAUACAGAAUGGCCCCGGUAAAGUUGCAAGAUUUGAAGGUGCAAUUAUAGGACAUGCUGGAUAAGGUCUUCAUUUGGCCUAGAACUUCACCUUGGGGUGCACCAGUCCUAUUCGUGCAGAAGAAAGACGGGUCGUUACAGAUGUGUAUCGACUAUCACCAAUUGAAUAAUUUUACUAUAAAGAAUAAGUAUCCACUUCCAAGAAUUGAAGACCUGUUCGACCAACUCCAUGGUGCCAAGUAUUUCUCCAAAAUUGACUUACGUUUAGGGUAUCAUCACGUGAGCGUUAAGCUAUCAGCAGUUGAAUAAUUUACUAUAAAGAACAAGUAUCCACUUCCAAGAAUUGACGCCUGUUUGACUAACUCCAGGGUGCCAAAUAUUUCUCCAAGAUUGACUUACGUUCAGGGUAUCAUCAGGUGAGGGUUGAGGAAAAGGAUAUUCCAAAGACAGCCUUCCGAACAAGAUAUGGGCACUUUGAGUUCUUG
rnacentral:lncRNA from 1 species